rnacentral:rRNA from 1 species
AUGGAAUCAGUAGGUCUCUGUGCCAUGUGGACAUGUCUCUGCGUUGUCGAGUGUAGUGAACAAGCAAUCAACGCGGCACAUGUGGAAGUUGUGAGAGCUGUGAAUGGCACCGGUCUUGUCAUACUAAUGAGCAGGAGCACCGACCACAUUACUCUUCAUGCCACUCUGAGCAGUUGGCUGCUGCUUGAGAUUGAUUUCCAUGUUCAAGGGAAGGGAGACAUGAUUGAGUUCCUGUAUAUGCAAGGAUAA